AAACCAACAGGGAUUGCCUCAGUAGCGGCGAGUGAAGCGGCAAGAGCUCAGAUUUGAAAUCGUGCUUCGGGCACGAGUUGUAAAUUGCAGGUUGGAGUCUGUGUGGAAGGCGGUGUCCAAGUCCCUUGGAACAGGGCGCCCUGGAGGGUGAGAGCCCCGUGGGAUGCCGGCGGAAGCAGUAAGGCCCUUCUGACGAGUCGAGUUGUUUGGGAAUGCAGCUCUAAGCGGGUGGUAAAUUCCAUCUAAGGCUAAAUACUGGCGAGAGACCGAUAGCGAACAAGUACUGUGAAGGAAAGAUGAAAAGCACUUUGAAAAGAGAGUGAAACAGCACGUGAAAUUGUUGAAAGGGAAGGGUAUUGCGCCCGACAUGGGAAUUGCGCACCGUUGCCUCUUGUGGGCGGCGCUCUGGGCUUUCCCUGGGCCAGCAUCGGUUCUUGCUGCAGGAGAAGGGGUUCUGGAACGUGGCUCUUCGGAGUGUUAUAGCCAGGGCCAGAUGCUGCGUGCGGGGACCGAGGACUGCGGCCGUUAGGUCACGGAUGCUGGCAGAACGGCGCAACACCGCCCGU
rnacentral:rRNA from 4 species